CCCUGGCUGUUGCACAUUAGACAAGCAGUACUUGGAAAUAUCUUAUUUGGAUUUAAAUGUAUGGUGAUGUCUGUGGGGUUAAUCUAAGGAUAUUGCAAGUGUCAUACAAUGAGUUUGACUCUUCGGACCAGAAUAAAUUGUGGCAUAUUGGCACAUGAGUACCAGCGCCGUUAUAAUCCAAUUCAACGGUUUGCAUGCUAGUGUCAACGGACUGGUGGGUUGAGACCUCUGAGGCAGAGGGCUUCCUGGAGAAAUAUGGCUACCUGCACCAGGACAAUCACAUACACAAUGCCGCAGAGGUCAAAACAGCAGUCCGGACCUGAGCCCUAGGACCAUGCCUCAGGACUACCUGGCCCGAUGACUCCUUGCUGUCCCCAGUCCACCUGGCCGUGUUGCUGCUCCAGUUUCAAUUGUUCUGCCUGCGGCUAUGGAACCCUGACCUGUUCACCGGAUGUGCUACCUGUCCCAGACCUGCUGUUUUCAACUCUCUAGAGACAGCAGGAGCGGUAGAGAUACUCUGAAUGAUCGUCUAUGAAAAGCCAACUGACAUUUACUCCUGAGGUGCU
rnacentral:lncRNA from 1 species